GGACAGCAUCAAACCCAAAAGCACCACAUAUCACCUCAUGAACCUGGAGCUCUGGACGCACUUCUGGACUUUUAACUGUUUGGAAAGACUUGGGGGACAAAGAUACGCCGGUGCGAGAGGGUAGGAGCAGAGAGGAGAGAGUGGCCGGGAGGAUCAGGAGCAGGAGGAUGAGAGCGGGGUAUGAAUGAAUGAAUCCUGGAGAGAGGAUCCACUUUAGAAACUUGAGGUCGUCCAUCCACCAGUGUGCAUUAACAAUUCCUCUGUCUGCAUUAUCUCCGGUAAAUGUCCUCCAGAGCUGUGGAGUGUGACAAUGGUGUUUGUGUCCUGUGUAUCAAACGCCAUUAUCACACUAAAUAGCUACAGUGUGAAAAGAGCCUCAACAUGUCCCUCAGUCAGUCUCCCUCUGUUUGUAUUGUGGCUUCUGUAUCUGAAUUUUCUCACCAUAGAUUUGUAAUAGUUCCCUCAUUCAUUCUGUAAAUCUUAGAAAUGUGUUUAUGUGACACCACUGAGGAGGAGCUGAGAUAAAAAUAGAUACACUGUGUUGAUACAUGGUACAUGAUCUUGAGCUUCUGAGUGUGACCCACUUACUUUUGUGUUUGAGGUGCUAAUUUGCUGCUGGAGACCACCUCCUCUGUGAGUACAACAUAAAAAUAGACGGCCCAUUUGUUUUUUCAUGCUGUCGCCAUUUCUUGUGUUGACAUCUCUCAAACUUUUUCCCAACACGUAAACAGGUAAUCUGAUCUAAACAACUGUAGCACUACAUUUUAAGACCGUACAACUGUCUUCAUCCUACAAAUGACAUAAAUAAAGUGUUUGUUUUUUGUCUGUUGCUACAGAGUGAA